rnacentral:rRNA from 1 species
UACGGAGGGUGCAAGCGUUGCUCGGAAUUACUGGGCGUAAAGGGCGUGUAGGCUGGUUUCGUAUGUCUGGCGUGAAAGCCCCGGGCUCACCUCGGGAAGUGCGUCGGAAACUGCGAGACUAGAGUCCCGGAGAGGGGAGGUGGAAAUUCCAGGUGUAGCGGUGAAAUGCGUAGAUAUCUGGAGGAACACCGGUGGCGAAGGCGGCAUCCUGGGACCGGUAUUGGACGCUGAGGAGCGA